rnacentral:rRNA from 1 species
GUGGUCCCACCUGACCCCAUGCCGAACUCAGAAGUGAAACGCCGUAGCGCCGAUGGUAGUGUGGGGUCUCCCCAUGUGAGAGUAGGGAACUGCCAGAC